rnacentral:tRNA from 1 species
GGAGAAAUACCCAAGGGGCCGAAGGGGACGGUUUGCUAAAUCGUUAGGCGCGCAAGCGUGCGAGGGUUCGAAUCCCUCUUUCUCCG